rnacentral:lncRNA from 1 species
AUGAUGCCAGCUAGCCAAACUCAAUCCACCGGGUUGUUCGAAAAGGAAGGGAGAGGAGACAGCUCAGUGCUCUGUCGCUGCGGCUCAGCUGGAGCAGACAGGGACAGGGAUGCUGAAGCACAGCUCUCUCCUCCCUGUGACUGCAUCAGGCAGCCUCACCAGAACCUCCCAUCUGUGUGUCUGCAGGGCCACGGACAGCCUCAGCCCUCCCUCAAGGUAAGGCUUUGCAAGAUCUGUCUCUGGGGAGAAAAGAUAUACUGUGUUGUACUAUCUCCAAGUAAUUCCUGCAUUUACAAGAAUAGCUGUCGGAUUUGUAGUUUAUAAAAAAUUUUCCUAAUUGGGAUUGGUGCCCCAGUUUCUUUUGCCAUGCAGCCAUCCCAGUGGUGGUUUGGCACCACAGAGAAAUCGGAGUGGGGUUAGAAAGUGCUCCACCUGGCCUCAAUGCAGAGCCAAACGCUGAUCGCAGCUUCUCUCAUGCUCUCCUCUCUGAAAGUCCUGAUUCUGCUCCUGCAAGACCUGAAGGGUCAGCCUUCUUUCAUCUGCAGGGUGCUGAGACGGAGGAAACCAGCAGUGUCUGCCCUCAGAAGGGGCAGCUUAGCAGCUGCUGCCUCUGGUGUGCCUUGCUCUGCCCUGGGGUAGUUCUCCAGGCAACUCUUUGCUUUCCUUCUGCCUCAGGAGUUGCUCUCACAGAAGUCAACGUCAGGUUCUUCCUUCUGCCUUUGCUUAUUCUAAGGUAAAUCAGAGUGAGGUGCAAGCAUUUGUGACUUAAUGGAAAUGAAUGCAAAGGAGGCAGCCUUGCAUUUGUCAUCAUGUGAUAACUAUUUCAUGUUAAAUGGCAACCAAUUAAAUAGGUGUAGAGGAGCACCAAAACAUCUGGCUUUCACUGAGCACUGGGAGAAAUGUGUUUGAAGGAGAACAAUUCCACAUGUUGGAAAGCAGCAGAGAAUGUAAGCAUGAGGAGCUAGAGGAAGUAGAAGAAGGACUGUGGUAUGCUAUACUUUGAAACGUUUACAGCCAUUGGAUUAGGACUUCUUUUAACUGUUACAAGGUUUAUGUUACUACAUAAAAGAUACUGAUUAUUAUCAAACUUCCUUAAAAAAAAAAAAAAAAAAAAAGUGAUCUUUUUCCUGGGAUUAGAAUAUGGCGUGGUUUGAGGUCUCUACAAUACAGCUCACGUUCUGGUUAUUGUCAUGUUACUGUAGUGUUCAGUACCUUUUUUUCUGGUAUGGUUGAACAGCCACCCUCUGAUGGAGGAAAAAUUUGCACCUUGUUUUUGCAGUCAGUGUGGAACAGCAGUGGGAGGCAGAAAUAGGGGGAGCUGACU